AUUUAUCAUAUAAAAAUGUGUAGUUGUAGAUUCCUAUUAUCUGAAUUUUCAAUAAAAUCAGAAUCAGCAUAUAAUUUCCAUUUAAAACUAUUUUUAUCAAUUUUAAACAUGAAUCCUAAGUGUCGUGUACCUUUCAAGUACUUAAUCAAAAUUUUCAUAGCUUCCUAAUGAAACUCACCUGCAUUACUCAUGAAUCUGCUUGACACACUUACGACAUAUGUAAUAUCAGGUCUUGGACAUAUUGUGACAUACAUCUUCAGAUCCAGCAACAUUAGCAUAUGGCACAUUCAUCAUUCUUUUAAGUUCAUAUUCAGUUUUAGGUGAUUGAUCAAUAGAUAAUUUCACAUAGGUAGACAAAAAUAAACUAUUGGAUUUAGCAUCAUUAAGGAAAGAUCUUUUAACCGCCUUUUCAACAUAAGAUCUCUAUGUUAAAAACAGUUUACCAUUAUCUUCCAUUCCUAAAAUCUUACUAGCAAGUCCUAAAUCCUUCAUCUUAAAUUCAGAUUUCAAUUUUUCUUUUAUAGAAUUAAGGGUAGUAGAAUUUUGACUAGCCAGCAACAUAUGAUCCCCAUAAAUAGCAAGUAAUGAGACUCUGAUUUACUAUCUCCUUUAAAGUAAAAUGUAGGGAUCAUAUUCAAAUUUAAUAGACUUUAGACCCUGUAUAGAAAAAGUCAAAAUUUUAUACCAUUGUCAUGGGACCUAUUUUAGGCCAUACAAAGAUUUCUUUAAGGGGCACGCUAAGUUCUCUUUCCUUUCAAAACCCUUUGGCUAAGUCAUGUACAUGGUUUCAUCUAAAAAACCAUAUAGGAAGACAGUUUUGACAUCAAACUCUAUAAUUCUAAAUCUAAUUGUGUCAUGAGAGCAAGAUAGAUUCUAAUAGAAGUAUACUACACAACAGGUGAAAAGAUUUCUAUAUAAUUUAUUUCUUCUUUUUAUAUGAAUCCUUUAACUAUAAGUCGUACCUUGUAUCUCCUAUCAUUUGAUUUUAAGUCACCCAUUUUAUCUUAUAAACUCUUUUCCAGUCAACAAGUUUACCAUCUUUAAGCUUUUCCACUAAAUCCCAGGUUCAAUUUUUAUAUAAGGAGUUCACUUCUUCUUGCAUUGCUGCAAGCCACUUAGUGGACUCCUUUCAAGUUAUAGCUUCUUCAUAAGAAGUAAGUUCCAUAACAAGAGAGUUAGAUUCAAGUUGUGUAGAUAUACAAUCUGCAUACUGGAAUCUAGAAAGUGGUCUUAUUUGCCUUCUUUCUCUAUCCCUGGCAAGUUGGUAAUCGUGCUAAUCAUGUGCAACAAUCAAAUUUUGAUCAUCAAUCAGUUUUUCAUCAUCAGUAAUUAUUUAAGGUUGCUCCACCUCAAUUUGAGUCUGCUCAUUAUUAUUUUGUUCAUUGAAUUCAACCUUAGUGAUGACAAAAACCUUAUCAGCUAAUUCUUCUCUAUCUUUGUCAAUAAGACAAGGGAAAUUAGUCUUAUAAAAAAUAACAGAUUUGGUUAUUAUUACUUUAAAGCUCCUCUUUCUUUUAAGACCAUUUAACUCAUUUUCCAUAAUCAACAAAAAUACAUUUUUGAGAUCUGCAAUCUAAUUUAGAGUUAGUAUGACGUGCAUAAAUUGUACAGACAAAGCUUCUAAGAUAUGGAUAGUCAUGUAUUAAUCCUGACCAAACAUGUUCAUGUAUCUUAUUGUUAAUAAAAUUGGCAAGGCACUUGCUUAUUAGAUAACAAGCAAUUUUCACUGCUUCCCCCAAAAAUAAUUUUGGUAAGCCAAAACUUAUCAGCAUGCAUCUAGUUCUUUCAAGAAUGACUAUGUUCAUUCUAUCAGCAAUUUCAUUUUGCUGAGGAGUAUGGGUUAUAGUCUGUUCAUUCAUUCGACAAUUCCAUUUUGCCGAGAAGUCUGUGCCUCAAUAUCUAGAGAUUUCAAACGGGCCGAGCGGCUCGUGGACUUGACCUCUCGGCUCGUGGAUAGCAUUUGACGAGCCCGAGCACGUGCCGAGCAGAGGGCUCAAUCCCACGAGCUGAACUCAUGGGCUUGUCAAAAAAUGUGUAAAGUUACAAAAGAAAAGUCAAAAAAUUAAAAAAAAAAAUUAAAAAUCACGAGCUCACGAGCGACUCAUGGGCUCAGCUCGGCCCGACGAUGAGCUCAUGGGUUGCUCAGCUCAUCUUUCAUGAUUCACGAGCUCGGCUCGCCAUGAGCUCGAGCCAAGCUCAUGGGUUAAAGGGCCGGCUUGGCCCAUUGCCAUCACUAUCAAUAUCCCAUGCCCACUCCAGUAUUGUUCAAAAUCAAUAUUGUAGAAUUCAAGCCCAUUUUCAGUCUUUAAGACUUUUAUCUUCUUAUCAAUUUGAUGUUUUCCAUUCUUUAAAGUGAAGU
rnacentral:sRNA from 1 species